UGGGACCCCCCGGCCAAAUGAUCACACUUUGGACCCCAAACUCUGCGCAUAACCAAGGAGAUGUUAAUCUCUGGCCAGAGCUCAGGUCUCUGCUGAAAUAUCACAGCUUGCAUUCACACCUACUGCCUAUGCCAGGCAACUCUCCUGUCUGCUACUGGCCCACUUCCCACUGACUCCAUAGCCCCUUCCCCUGACCCCAGAGGUCUUAGGUGAGCAUGGAGUAGAUGAAGAUGCUGGAUGUUAAUAUGCUCACUGAGACCCAUUUCCUGGGAAGUCCUAUUUUGGGGUGCACAUCUGGCCUCCCAAUCUUUUCUUUUUCAAGCACCAACCUCUUCCCCUCCAUCUCCCAGUGCCCUUCAGAGAAUGGGGUAAAGUUGGCAAGAAGAGCCACCCGUGCAGGGCCUGUCUGAGAAGCCAGCAUCGAGGCAUGCCAAGCCACAGAGCAGUGGACACAGGAUGAUCUUUUCACCUUGUGGGGGAAGUGCCCAAUGCUCUUGGCAACUGAAGUCAAUUCGAGGUUGCUGUCAUUCAGCGGGGCUAUACCCUGCCCACCAUUCUCCAGGCACAGAGAAGCUCAGGCGACGUUGCAUGGGUGAAUUGAAGGGGUAGUCCCGACACAGGCAUAGACAGGCCUGCUGACGCUUGCAUUUUAGUUUUCAUUUGGGCAGAGAGGGGAUGAAGUGGCUCUAACUGGGUUUGGCAUUGGGGCUGUGGCUGAGGAGAGGGGCUGCUGGGGCGGGGGUGGUAGUCAAGGGGAAGGUGGGCACAUUUUGGGCUAGGCAACAGGGAUGGGCUUCUAAGGACAAAGGAGAUGGACUUCAGGAUGCAGGUGGCUAAAGGUGGUGGCAAGGCUGAAUCAACGGUCAUUAACACUCUGCCUGAGACCCAUAGACAAGCAAGAGGGUGGAAAAGACAUCUCCAAAUUCCAAGUAGCAUGGAACUCUAUCUCAGCUGCUGAGCUCACAGCCAAGCCAAGGAAUGGAGUCUUUGUGUGAUGGCAAGAAGUGGCCUGAUAUUGGUGCUUUAUUUAUUUCAUGGUGCUCUCCACAUGUCAUAUGCCACCAAGGUAGAGGACCAGCCACUGCUCCCAUGGCAGGCCCACGGGAACUACCACCCCAUCACUUCACUUUACAGAUGGAAAAACCGAGGCCCAGAGACCCACAAUAGGACAGAGUUGGCCUGGAAAUUAGAACAGUAGGGUUAAGAUCCCUGCCCUUCCUCCUCCUGGCUAUGUGACCUUUGACAAGUCACUUCCCCUCUCUGCAUCCAGUUUCAUCGCCUCUGAAGUGGGGAUUAGAAUAGUGCCUGCUCCACACGGUUCUUGUAGGAAUAAUCCCUGGCACAUUGGAAGCUUUGGGUACUCCAUUCCUUCCUUCCAACAGGAACAAGAACGUACCCAAGGUCACCUGGCCAGAAAUGGCAAUGCCCCAGCUCAAAGCAAACCCUCAUCUGGGGCUCGUUCAUUCCCGGCUAUGGACUAAGGGGCCACAUUUUAUAGCCUUCCUGGCUCAGUGAGACAGGUACAGAUUGCAGGUAGGUCCAUGCCAGUGAUAGCAUCACCUUCCAUCCAUGCAGGCUUUAUUCUAAGAGGUUUAUUGAGGUCCUGCUGUGUGCUGGGCCACGUGUAAAAAAAUUUAUAGCCUCUGCUGCUCCGGGGUCACCAGGCAUGUAAAAUCCGUGGCAGGCAGGAGAGACGUGGCCACUGUGCAUCUUUUGGCUUCGAUGGACUUGAUUUUGCCUCAUCUUUACCCUCUAAGCUACCUACUCCUUGGUCUCCAGACAUCCUUCCCAGCCCCAUCUAAGUUCCUGGAGACCCACUUCUCAUCAAGCCUCCAGACCUGAAAUAAAGUGUCCCACAUCAGGACAGAGGGUCCCUGAUUUUACCUCCAGAGUGGCUGCCUCUCUCCUGUGUGUUCCUAGGGGAACCCCACUUUCCAGAUGCUCUGCCAGACAGGCCGGGCUGCGUCUCUCUGCUUGGGACUCACUGUUUGUCCUCCAAGGACUGGCCACUGAGCCAGUGCUUGGCUGGAGACAGAGCUCUUUCUUUGUUUGCUGCCUGCCUGACGAUUUAUUUCUGAGGCUCAAGGGAGGCUCAGCCAUUUUGCCAGGGCUGCUCUGGGAAAAGGUCUGUCCCACUCCCCCAGGGACUCCCACUUCUAAGGGCAAGUUCUUUUUCCCCUUCUCUGCCUUGGAGAGGGUCUGUCCUGCCCCAAUCAGACCCUGAUCUGGAGCUGGGUCAGUCCUUCCCAAUGUGCUCCAAAGAUAAAGAGAUAACAUGCAAAAUGCGAGUAGCUUUCACUGACCUCUUUUGUUUUGGAAUUUGGGGGACUGGGGUAGCAGCCUUUUUGGCUCCCUUAGGAGGACACUUCCCCCAAAGUUCCCAAAGACACAGAAUCUAGGCACUAUCCAGCACCCAACAUCCCUACUCUCUUGCCAAACACCCACCUUGUGUGUCAUAGAAAAACAAAGGUAGACCCCCAAUGCCACUCAGUCUGAUACCGUCUCUGAUUUUUGGGGUGUCACAAAUCUCAGGAGCCAUUUUAUUCCCGCCCUCCCCGCCCCCCCAGCUCUUCAUGGGGAUAAGGCUGAGCUUCCUGGGAAAGGGAAUGAGCGCUCCAGCCCCACAUCCGGAAAGAACGUGGUGUUAUCAUUUGGCUUUUAAAAAAUUCUCCUUGUGGUUCAUGUCUAUUUUGGGAGGAUAUUAGCUCAGAGCCUCAAUAGGGGACUGCCCGGUCUGAGUUUCUUGUCUGAAGACCGAGCCAAGCCUAGAACAGGACAUCUGUGGGUGCCACCCGUGGGGACGUGUGCUCAGAACCCAAUGGGCACUGCCCGAGGCUACCGUGGUGAGCGGUGUCGCGCCGGGGAGUACACGCAGAGACCAAAAGCAAGAAGGGGAGCGCAGUUCCCGAAGCAGCAAGGAGGCACCGUCCUCCAGCCCUCUAAGGGACCGCCCGCACCCCACAUCUCUUGGAGAAAGUCGGGGCUGGGAGAGCGCGGCGCGAGCUCUGGUGCACUAGGCUUAGCUCCGGUGCACUCAGCCCAAGCCCCGGUGUGCUUUUAAGCCAACGUUUCUGAGAGCUCGGGCUGUCCCAGAGACGUCCCAUCCUCAAGUCGCACCCGACCCCGCCGUAGCCCGCAGAGAACAAAUGAGGGGCAUAGCUCUAACUCGGCUCAGCUGACCCCAGGAUUGGGAAAGUGGCGCACGGCCCCCCAACGCUGCUCGUGUCAUUCACUCCGCGUCCCCUCCAUGCCCUGGGGAAUGAAUAGGGAGCUUCGACGGCUCCAGCAGAAUCCAGUGCCAACUUGCGGGGCCAGUGGGGCACCGCGGGAGGGAAGGGGCAUGCAACUCUCGCCUCUGUUCCAGCCCUCCUGCCUCCCGAGUGUCCCAGGGGACGGAUGGCCUGGGCGCACGUCGGGGUCCGAGCGGCGCCUCUGCUCCUUCAUGUGGCUCAGGGAAGGUGCGGCGCGGGGGCUUGAAUCUCGAGGUGUCCGCCCCCCACCCGGCCCGGCUCGCGGCAGCGGCUCGGGGCUCUGGCCGUUCCUGCGCCGUUAUCCCAGGCUCUGCGCCCCGC
rnacentral:lncRNA from 10 species